rnacentral:rRNA from 1 species
CUACGGGGCGCUGCAGUGAGGAAUAUUGCACAAUGGGGGGAACCCUGAUGCAGCAACGCCGCGUGGAGGAUGACGCAUUUCGGUGUGUAAACUCCUUUUAUAUGUCAAGAAAAUGACGGUAGCCUAUGAAUAAGCACCGGCUAACUCCGUGCCAGACAGCCGCGGUAAUACGGAGGGUGCAAGCGUUACUCGGAAUCACUGGGCGUAAAGGACGCGUAGGCGGGUUGGAAAGUCAGGUGUGAAAUCCUACAGCUUAACUGUAGAACUGCACUUGAAACUUCUAAUCUAGAGUAUGGGAGGGGGAGAUGGAAUUAGUGGUGUAGGGGUAAAAUCCGUAGAUAUCACUAGGAAUACCUAAAGCGAAGGCGAUCUCCUGGAACAUUACUGACGCUAAGGCGUGAAAGCGUGGGGAGCAAACAGGAUUAGAUACCCGCGUAGUC